rnacentral:lncRNA from 1 species
GUGGGCUAAUUAUUUUCUCUUAAAAUGUUUUUUUUUAGAUCUCCUUUAGAUUACCUGAAUUGUCUGCUGAUGUAGCUUGAAAUAAUCCAUAGGUUUUAAGCUCCUCUUUGGAUCCAGGAUUUAUCUUAAUUCUGUUACUUAGAAGGUUUUACUUUAGUGGAGGUGUGUUACUGUGCUUGAACAAAUGGGCUGAGAAACUGUCUGUGAAAGAGAAAGCAACCGAAGGCAGUGUUAGCUGUAUUUUAUGCUAUUAAAAUUCAUAUUAUAUUGCAAGAAACAUGAGAAUCAAACAGAUUUUUACAACAGUAAUAAUAGCAAUGCUGUUUUGAAAUUUUCAUUGUAAAGAAUCAUUUCAAAAUGACUACCUGAGGCUUAAUUUUCUUUCCAAUAAUGCAGAUGUUUCUGAAUUGCAGUUUGCCAAGUGUGGGAGAUGGGAAAUCCUGUCCUAAAAAGAUACUGUUAGAUGGUCUUUUAGGUUUGAUCCAAGUCAUAGAGUAGCAGAUAAACUGUCUUUAAACAGUGAUUUACAGCAAAAGUUUCACAAAAACUGGCAGGAUGUUGCAAUAGGGAAGUUGUGGCUAAGCCAUUUCCAGUUUUUUGUGCAGUUUUCUCAAGCAGUCACAUUCCUUCCCAAAAGUUUGCUUUCACUCAUGAAUGCAUUGGAUACCACUGAGAGAAGAUUUGGUAGCUCCACCAUUUUUGUGUGUAUGUUGUCAGGCAAGGUGCUGUGGAUUGAGCUUUUACUGAAAAGAGGCUGAAAACGAGACUUCUGGGAGAGCAAAGAACAGAGCUUUGAUUUUCUUGCCUGCUUAAUCCCAAUUCAUUCGUCUCUUCUGGAUCCUGAAUUCCGGGAAGGUAGGAGAAAAUUGCUGUGUAUCAGCCUUGCAGAGAAAGCGGUUAAGGUAGCUAGAAAAAUUGGAUUAUUACUACCAGUGCACAAUUCUCUUGUUCUUUCAAUUUCACUCCAAGAACUAACGGUUCCUUAAAAUCUGGCUGGCUACCAAGGCCACAAUCAAACAUCUGUGCACCAGAUGCAUGGAACAUUGUGUCCAGCUGUGUUACUGCAGCUGCAUCUGCAGAACACUACAUAUGUCGAUUGCUCUGACCAGCAGGCGCUGGGAAUACUAUCGAUAGGAAUGACACUACAGAAUAUAUAUAAACACUGCUGAAUAUAUAUAUAAACCAUUUUUCCUACAGAUAUGUUUGAAUGUCUAAACUUAGCUGGUGUGUAUUCCCUUUAAAAUGUCUCUUGUAUUUCCAAGGGUAGAGCAACC